UAUGUUUUAGUAUAUUAGUAUAUAGAAAUUUUUGAUAUUUCUGAAAAUAGAUACCCCUAUUAAACAUAU
rnacentral:tRNA from 1 species